AGUUAUCUUGCGGAAGAACACCUUUUUUAAACAUUACAUAUAGGGCUACUGCCCAGGUGCGCGCUUGUAUCCUUGCGCGCUCAUAGUGUCACAGGUGCGUUUGUUUUGUUGUGAUUACAGUUCCUAAAGGUUCAUUAUGAAAUUGUUUUGCUGAAAGACAAACAAAAAGUUGAAAUCAAGUCAAUAUGUUAGUAGCUAGUCUACACACCGGACAUUCUUACGGGACAAGAUGGACUGACAAUAGAGGAAGUUAUUGCGUUUAUAAUUUUUGUGUGAGAAAACCUCCAACGCUCCAUGCUAGUCCUCUGCAUCACAGAUACAGCUGCAGCAUACGUCACCUUACAGCAGUCAACGCCAAGGUUCAGAGGUCACCAAUUACUCAGAGAGGGCUGAGAAAGCUGUAUGGGCUCUGCCCUCGGGGCUGCCACGUUGCAUUAUCAUCAUGGAGAUCGCAGGCUGUCCACAUCAAGCCCUACAACAGCCAGGAAGCCUUUUUCACCACUUUGUUUAUCCCGCCUGCCUUGGCCACCUGAGUGCUGCUUCUGCAAAGGAAAAAAAAACAAAACAUUAUGGAAUGUAAGACAUUAAAUCAGACAUUUGAAGAAAGUGAAGACCUGAUUAAUUUAUCCUUUCCAAACAUUACCAUCACUGAUUUUCAGGCUCAAAAGAGGCCCAGCCCAGCACUAUUUGGCUGGGGCCAACAGAAGCUGUGCAGCCAGUUGGAGUUGAAAUGGCUCCUGAAUAGAGAAUCCCAGAGUCUGAUUUAGUGUGCUCAGCCAAACCCUCGGUAAUUGCAAAAACAGCACUUGGUCCUCUAAUAAUGGGUGCGUGUCAUCUCCAAUCCUCAGUCCGCCUGUCUGUCCAUGCCACAGAGGCAGCAAUUACAGACUACAGACUCGGGCCUGCCACUGGACUUGCACACAGGGAGGGCAGAGAAACAGUAGACUGUGUGUGUGGGGUGGGGGCAGUAGGUUAAGGGGUACAUGAGCAGCUGAAUGAGGUGUGUGUGUGUGUGUGCGUGGACACAGGAAAGGGCAAAUGCAGUCUUGCGGUUAAGCUCGAUUUAAGAAUUGAACAGAUGUUCCUAUUUAGCCCAGAAGCCACAACAGUACUGUGAAUAUGAGUUAUGCCAAAUUUUGAAACAGUUGAGGUUUUAUUCUGUAACUGGCAACUCCUCAGUUUACAAUAAAUGUCUACACCGUAAAAACUAGUUCACUAAUUGAUCAGUAAGUGAUUACUCAGCAUUCACUUCAAGUAAAUGUUUAGUUGCCAUUGACUAAAUCUACCAGUAUUGCAUAAUAUACUUCUUGGUGCUUUUUCCACUUCUGGCUUUUGGUGUAUCCUGACAUGACAUUAAAGAUAAGAUUAGCAAGACCAAACCAUUUAUAGCAAUGAUGGUUUCAGGAAAUCUUGUAUCAAUAUGAACUAAAAUGUCCAAGGCCAUGGACACUUAAUUUUCUCCUUGAAGUUGAAAACCUCCUUUUUUGUUAGGUGUUUUUUUAAACCAUCUAAGUGUGAUAACUAAUACCUUGUGUGAGCAGCGCACAAUUGGACUUCUCUUUGAGUCACUUCCUUACUAAACACUCAUGACUACCCAUCCACGACUCCUUGUCAUCACAAGGAUUUACUAAAACAUCGACUGAUCUUUCCUGUCACGCUGCUAUUGUUUUAUUUGAUUUUCUUUGCAGAGGCAUAACGAACUACUGUCAUGGCAGACAAUAGAACAGAGUCACGGUCUGACCCCAAAACUAAUUUGCCAGCUUAAGCGCUUAACAAGUGACAGUUUCCCCAGUGCUGAGUUUGUUUACCCCCCGUUCUGCUUUCCUUUUAUUUGUUGUUUUUUAAACAGAGCUUUAAAUGA